UGUGAUUUCAUUAGUUUGUUUCCAGAAUUUUUCUUUUGUGAUUUGUUAACUCCCAUGUUGGAUGGUUAUUUUGCUCAGAGAAACAUAUGUGGUUAUGAUGUAAGUCAUAUCUCUAUGUGUUUUGUUUUAUCAUUUCAUACAUCCUGUGCGGGCAUUAAUUCACCUGUGUAUUUCAAUUUUUUUUUUCUUCCAGAAAAUAACUCCCCUCACCAAGCCCCCAUGAGUACACUGGUUGUGUUUGCCCAAACUGGAAUUAUCAUUAAGAGGAAUGAGGAUCAUCGUGAAAAGAAAAAGUGAUGGAACACGAAUCCACAAAAAAUCCCUGCUACCACUGGGAUUAAAAAUAAUAAUAAUAAUCACACAGAAUAACAGGAAAACACCUUCUGAUUCAGACCCUGAAUCACAAGCAGACGCACAUCAGCUAGAAUGAUGAGUCAAAUUAAGCUCUGAAAGAUAAGAGAUCAGUUAUACUUGUGGCCAAACUUUCCUUCUGGAUACUAGGUAGGGACUUCCCCAUCAGUGUGUGUGUUCUUCCAUUUGAUCUUUUUGAGCUGUUUUAAUUUCUCUACUGAAUGAACAUGAAAAACAACUGUGUAAUUCCAUUUACCUCUAUAAUUUUUCUGGGACUGGAUGAUCAAAAUAUCUUUUGACCUGGAAUUUUUUUUUUUAUUAUUAUUAAAUUAUU
rnacentral:lncRNA from 1 species